ACUGGGAAUAGAUACCCCACUAUGCUCAACUUUAAAAUGGAUCUUCCCGCCAGAGCACUACGAGCUACAGCUUAAAACUCAAAGGACUUGGCGGUGCUCUACACCCACCUAGAGGAGCCUGUUCUAUAAUCGACACCCCCCGAUAAACCUCACCAUUUCUUGCCACUGCAGCCUAUAUACCACCGCCCUCAGUUCACCUUUUAAAAGAGUAAUAGUAAACAAAAUAAUUUAAAAUAAAAAAGUCAGGUCAAGGUGUAGCAAAUGAAAUGGAAAGAAAUGGGCUACAUUUUUUAUAACAAAAAACACGGAAUAUUAUAUGAAAUAAGAUAUAAAGGAGGAUUUAGAAGUAAAAAGAAAAAAGAGUGUUCUUUUUAAAUUGGCAAUAGAGCACGCACACACCGCCCGUCACCCUCUUCAAAAAUAAAAUAACUUAAAUAAAUAUAUAUAUGUAUAAGAAAAGGUAAGUCGUAACAUGGUAAGUCUACCGGAAGGUGGCCUUGGAUAUCAAAAUAUAGCCUAAAUAAAGCAUUUUGUUUACACCAAAAAAAUAUUUGUUAAAUCAAAUUAUUUUGAAUUUUAAAUCUAGCCUAAACAUAAAACACUAACUUCCCUAAUACACAAAGCAUUAUUAUACAAUAGUAAGG
rnacentral:rRNA from 1 species